GACUCUGGACAGUAGAUGACUUGACUUGUGUGUCUACUAAGAACUUGGCUAGUUCUAGGAGUUAUAGUGAAUGGCAGGACAUACUGAUCACUGACAAUUUGAAUGCACUUGCGACCCCAGGGUUCAUCUUGGUGCUAGGCCUGUCUGAGGCCAU
rnacentral:rRNA from 1 species